rnacentral:lncRNA from 1 species
CAAUACUCUAAAGAAAGACAAGCUCAUUAUUACAAUCAAGGAGCAAAGGAAUAAUCAUAUUUAAAAGAAGGAGAUGUUGUGAGAGUGAAACCGGCAAACAAAUACCAAAAGACUUGGGAGAAAGGAACAGUUAAUCAGAAAGUAAACGAAAGAUCAUAUGAAAUCAACAUUAAAGGAAAAACAUUCAGUAGAAAUAGGAGACAAUUGCUUAAAACGAGCGAAAACA